UUGGACUCAACGCCGGGCAGCUCACCGGAUAAAGACAAGGCUGGAUGAUAGCCGGGCUGAAGACUCUGCUUGACUAGCUGAGAGGAGGUGCAUGGCCGUCGUCAGUUCGUACUGUGAAGCAUCCUGUUAAGUCAGGCAACGAGCGAGACCCACGCCAACAGUUGCCAGCAUGUCCUCCGGGAUGAUGGGGACACUGUUGGGACCGCCUCUGCUAAAGAGGAGGAAGGAAUGGGCAACGGUAGGUCAGCAUGCCCCGAAUUAUCCGGGCUACACGCGGGCUACAAUGGUCAGGACAAUGGGUAUCGACACCGAGAGGUGGAGGCAAUCUCCUAAACCUGUCCUUAGUUCGGAUUGUGGGCUGCAACUCGCCCACAUGAAGCUGGAAUCCGUAGUAAUCGCGUUUCAAAAUAGCGCGGUGAAUAUGUCCCUGCUCCUU
rnacentral:rRNA from 1 species